rnacentral:lncRNA from 14 species
ACUGGGGCCUUCGUUUGCCUCUGCCUGGGCUUUCCUCUGUGAUUCUUCUUUCUGCCAUAGAAAAAAACAUUUGAAGACUGUUGAAGAGCUCCUGAAGUUUUUGCCAAAGGUACAGGUCUUUUGGUUACUCAAAUACUGACCCUUUGGGAGG